ensembl:lncRNA
CGGGUGCUGUCCGUUAAACCUGUGCGGAACAGUUUCCACACGCCCGAUCAUUGUGUAAGCGUCUCUCCCACCCUUGAACCUGCGUCAUGCCGACGUCACCUGUUAAAACGAGGAUCCCCCUCACCAGCUUUGGACACUUGGUAACAGAGGUGAAGGCCCUACAGGUUUUGGAGUGGUGUUCAGGUUGGGCCAGUUGACUGCAAAGUGAAAAUAAGGCACUUUAGGGUCAUUUUGGUUUGACAGCAGUGUAACAACUCCAUUAAACCAUUCAAGUAUGUGGGAGUUUCCAUCCUCUCCUCUGCCUACUGAUUGUAGUUUUUUGGCCCCUCUCUUGCAGACAUCCUUUCUGUCUCCUCUCUGAGCCUCUUCAAUCCUCUCUGUUCCUUUGUUUUCACACUCAUCUUCUUCUUUCAGCUGCUCCCUUCAGGGGUUGCCACAGUGGAUAAUCUGCCUUCUGCUCUGUCUGUAGCAUCGUCCUCUGUCACACCAAGGCUCUGCAUGUCCUCCUUCACUACAUCCAUGAACCUCCUCUGUGGUCUUUCUUUUUUCCUCCUGCCUGACAACUUCAUAUUCAACAUUCUUUGUCCAUUACACACACAUGUAUAUAUAUAUAUAUAUAUAUAUAUAUAUAUAUAUAUCCAGGGGCAUGUCUAGAACAGAGGCAUGGGGUGGCACCAGCCCCCCUGAAAUAUGAAUAGUUUGCUCCUUUGCUGUUAAAUCUUAAAAUCCCCAACACCAUUGGAUGGGGC